rnacentral:rRNA from 1 species
UACGUAGGGGGCAAGCGUUGUCCGGAUUUAUUGGGCGUAAAGAGCGUGUAGGCGGCUGGGUAGGUCCGUUGUGAAAACUCGAGGCUCAACCUCGAGACGCCGAUGGAAACCCUCCAGCUAGAGUCCGGAAGAGGAGAGUGGAAUUCCUGGUGUAGCGGUGAAAUGCGCAGAUAUCAGGAGGAACACCGGUGGCGAAGGCGGUUCUCUGGGCAUGUCCUGACGCUGAGGAGCGAAAGUGUGGGGAGCGAACAGG